rnacentral:lncRNA from 1 species
UAGGGGGCUCUAGGGGCAGCGGGGGGCUAUAGGGGGUGCCUAUAGGAGCAUAUAUAGGACCCCUCUCCCCCCAGCAGGCGGCACUGCCCCGUGUGUCGCCGUGGGGCCGAGGGCAGAGCAAUGGGGUGACCUACGGCCGGGGCCACCCCCUGGUGCCCCCCGGUAUACGCCAGCCCCUACACAUCCUAUAGGGGGCAGGACCUAUAGGGACCUGCCCCUCUGGGCCUCCUCUGGGUGGAGCCUAUAGGGCCCCAGCCAAUUGGAGCCCCGUAUAGACCUGGUUCUAUAGGGACCAGAGCCUCUGCCCCAUAGGGAACCUGAGCCUAUAGGGCCCCACAUCCUUCUCCCCUAUAGACCUCACCCUAUAGGGGACAGCCCUUCUAGGUAUGGGACCCUCUAGGGGUCAGGACCACCCUUAUAGACCAGGCCCUAUAGGGACAACCCCCUAUAGACCCCACCCCAUAGGGACCAGACCCACCCAUAUGGACCAAACCCUAUAGGGGCCACCCCCCCGACCCCCUAUAGAAAUCCUAUAGGGAUGAGGCCCAUGCAUAUAGACCAGGCCCUAUAGGGAUCUCCCCACUGAUCCCCUAUAGAUCUCAUCCUAUAGGGACCAGACCCAUCCAUAUAGACCAGGCCUUAUAAGGGCCACCCCAUUGAUCCCUUAAAGACCUCACCCUAUAGGGACCGCCCCCUAUAGACCUCACCCUAUAGGGGUCACCCCCACCCAUAUAGACCAGGCCCUAUAGGGAUCUCCCCACUGACCUAUAGAUCUCAUUCUAUAGGGACCAGACCCACCCAUAUAGAAUAAAUCAUAUAGGGGUCAGACCUACUCAUAUAGACUGGACCCUAUAGGGACCACCCCACUGACCCCCUAUAGACCCCACCCUAUAGGGAACACACCCUAUAGGGACUACCCCACUGAUCCCAUAUAGACCUCACCCUAUAGGGACCAGACCCUAUAGACCCCACCCCACUGACCCCCUAUAGACCCCACCCUAUAGGGACCACACCCUAUAGGGACCACCCUACUGACCCCCUAGAGACCUCACCCUAUAGGGAUCAGUCCCACCCAUGUAGACCACACCCUAUAGGGACCACCCCACUGACCCCUUACAGACCUCACCCUAUAGGGACCAGCCCCUAUAGACUCCACCCUAUACGGACCCCACCCUAUACGGACCAGACCCUAUAGGGACCACCCCACUGACCCCCUAUAGAUCUCACCCUAUAGGGACCAGACUCUAUAGGAAUCACCCCACUGACCCCCUAUAGACUUCACCCUAUAGGGAUCAGGCCCACCUAUAUAGACCACACCCUAUAGGGACCCCACCCCUUACAGACCCCACCCUAUAGGGACCAAACCCUAUAGACCCCACCUUACUGACCCCCUAUAGACCCCACCCUAUAGGGACCACACCCUAUAGGGACCACCCCACUGACCCCCUAAAGACCUCACCCUAUAGGGAUCAGUCCCAACCAU